rnacentral:tRNA from 1 species
GCGGCCGUGGUCCAGCCUGGCAAGAUAUUGGCCUUCCAAGCCAACGACCCGGGUUCAAAUCCCGGCGGCCGCA